UCGACAAGUACAACUCAGUGUACUAGAUAAUAAUCCAGGUGUCUAUAAAAGUCAGAGGAACUUUGCGUUUGCAGAACUUGGAAUAUUUCUUAGGAACCAUUCAAUUUUUCUUCAUUAAAAAGACUGCUCGGUUUAAAGCAUGAUGGUAGACAUAGGCACCAGUGACACCUGCAGCCUCUGGAGACCUCCACAGUAACUGGAGACCACCAAGCCAAGGGAAUCCUUCCAGCUACUACAAAUAGACAGAUUGUUUCCAUGUAGAAAAUUAAAGUGAUAAAACGAACAUUUGUAGGCAAGAGCCUUGAAACAUAAACAAAGAUCCCAUUGGAAAGGGAAGAACAGAGAAGAGACAAAACUCAUGUUGAGGUUUCUGACUGUACCCACAACCCCAAAAAUGUAACCCAUGAAAAGGCUGAAAUAG
rnacentral:lncRNA from 1 species